GACGAACGCUGGCGGCGUGCUUAACACAUGCAAGUCGAACGGAAAGGCCCCAGCUUGCUGGGGUACUCGAGUGGCGAACGGGUGAGUAACACGUGGGUGAUCUGCCCUGCACUCUGGGAUAAGCCUGGGAAACUGGGUCUAAUACCGGAUAGGACCGUGCUUUCGUGUGUGCGGUGGAAAGUUUUUCGGUGCAGGAUGAGCUCGCGGCCUAUCAGCUUGUUGGUGGGGUAAUGGCCGACCAAGGCGGCGACGGGUAGCCGGCCUGAGAGGGUGUACGGCCACAUUGGGACUGAGACACGGCCCAGACUCCUACGGGAGGCAGCAGUGGGGAAUAUUGCACAAUGGGCGCAAGCCUGAUGCAGCGACGCCGCGUGGGGGAUGACGGCCUUCGGGUUGUAAACCCCUUUCGGCAGGGACGAAGCUUUUGUGACGGUACCUGCAUAAGAAGCACCGGCUAACUACGUG
rnacentral:rRNA from 1 species